CAAAUUACCCAGGUCAUCUCGAAAAUGUAUUUGUCGGAAUUUUUCUUUCAUUCUAAAAAUGUUGAAAGUGAGGAGCUAAUAUUGCUUUGCCACCUUUACUAAAUGAAAAUCAUACUCUUAUUCACCAGUUCCAAUCUGCAGUUGUGACUUUGACUUAGACCUGUGCACCUUUACCCAAGCUACUACCGAUGAUAUUGAUUGGACGAGGCGGGCAGGUAACACGCCAUCUACGUAUACCGGCCCGGAAAAUGAUCAUACAAUUGGCACAGCGGCUGGAUUCUAUAUCUACACAGAAGCAUCGUCAUUUUCCAACAAAGUUGCCGUACUGGAGUCGGAACUCAUUCUUGCGUCGUCUAGGCGAUUGUGCGCCGAUUUUUGGUACCACAUGUGGGGAGCUGGCAUUGGUACACUCAAUAUCUAUGCCAAGACCGGGACCACGCUGGGCCAGGUCCUAUGGACCCAAAGUGGGGCUCUGUCCAGGAACUGGUUUGAGGCCCAGAUUGAUUUCAUCCCUACUGCCGAUUUUAAGUUCGUAUUUGAGGGCGUUACUGGUGCGAAUUACAAUAGUGACAUCGCUCUCGAUGACAUCUAUAUUACAACAGGAGCAUGCAGAGGUAUAUAUCUAAUAUUAUUAUUGUUGUUGGUGUU